rnacentral:rRNA from 1 species
GACGAACCGUGCGAACGUUGUUCGGAAUCACUGGGCUUAAAGGGCGCGUAGGCGGGUUCGCAAGUCAGGGGUGAAAUCUUUCGGCUUAACCGGAAAACAGCCCCUGAUACUGCGAGUCUCGAGGGAGGUAGGGGCAUGUGGAACUUCCGGUGGAGCGGUGAAAUGCGUAGAUAUCGGAAGGAACGCCGGUGGCGAAAGCGACGUGCUGGACCUCUUCUGACGCUGAGGCGCGAAAGCUAGGGGAGCAAACGGG